rnacentral:miRNA from 1 species
UCUCAUCUGAUCUCUGAGCUAAGCAGGGUCGGGCCUGGUUAGUACUUGGAUGGGAGACU